GCUCAGACUUCAGGCUCUGCAAUCUGACUGUCCAUCCAUUACGAAAAGUGCCAAUGGAAUUUGAAAGAUGAAUAUUAGCGGCUUUGUUGGAGUUCUGUAAGCCUUAAUGUGUGCAUCUGAGUGACUGGAACGGCUCUCAAGGUUAAUUACUAAACUAACGAGAGGUCUUGACUCAUCUGGAGCUGAUGAAGACCACUGCACUUACUUCCCAAAUUUACUAACCAAACACAAUUAUGUUGCUUGUCACAAAUGUCUUGACUAAUAGCAUAUGCACAUCGUGUCCUGGCAUGCAACCUCACACCCAUCUCUCCCUGGCAAACAGACUCUCACAUACCACAGAAUAGGAGCUGGUGCAUGAAGGGGAACAGUGCCA